UGAACCUCUUUAUAUUCUGCCAUAUGUUCUCACGGACGACUAGUGCAGAAGAAAUCCGUGUUUACAACUAAUUUCUAUUUUUUUCCCUUUCUUUUUUUAAUUUUAUUAUGAGUUAGUGCAAAUAGAUCAGAUCAGUGCUUUCAAAAUUUAUGCAGAUCUAUGUAAUAUUUGUUGAUAUAUUUAAAAGAUCUUUAAUUAUGUGUUUGUAUCUGUUCUUGUAUUUGUAUAACUUUCGAGGGAAGUAAAACAAAUAAAGAAUUAAAUCUUUG
rnacentral:misc_RNA from 1 species